AUUGAACGCUGGCGGCAUGCUUUACACAUGCAAGUCGAACGGCAGCGCGGGCUUCGGCCUGGCGGCGAGUGGCGAACGGGUGAGUAAUACAUCGGAACGUGCCCAGUAGUGGGGGAUAGCUCGGCGAAAGCCGGAUUAAUACCGCAUACGACCUGAGGGUGAAAGCGGGGGAUCUUCGGACCUCGCGCUAUUGGAGCGGCCGAUGGCAGAUUAGCUAGUUGGUGGGGUAAAGGCCUACCAAGGCGACGAUCUGUAGCUGGUCUGAGAGGACGACCAGCCACACUGGGACUGAGACACGGCCCAGGCUCCUACGGGAGGCAGCAGUGGGGAAUUUUGGACAAUGGGCGAAAGCCUGAUCCAGCAAUGCCGCGUGUGUGAUGAAGGCCUUCGGGUUGUAAAGCACUUUUGGCGGGAACGAAAAGGACUGUGCCAAUACCACGGUUCGAUGACGGUACCCGCAGAAUAAGCACCGGCUAACUACGUG
rnacentral:rRNA from 1 species